rnacentral:rRNA from 1 species
UUGUGCGAUAGCUCCUUGAAAGCACCAGUUCCGCAUGGAUCACUGAAGUUGAGCACGGUUGCGCGUGGUUAGUACCCGGAUGUUUAUUACUCAAGUAGAAACAGUUCACAUUGCUCACU